GAAAGCAUGGCUUUCCUGCUGCAUCGCCACAAGUCAAGCUGUCCUGAUUGAGAAACUUUUGGUUUCCUGCUUAAUCAAAGUUCCUAAAGUUCACCCCAUUCACACUUACGUGGCACUUUACAAGUUCCUCCCUCAAGAGCAAAAUGACUUAGAAUUACAUCCUGGUGACAGAGUUAUGGUGACUGAUGACUCUAAUGAAGAAUGGUGGAAGG